rnacentral:rRNA from 1 species
AGCGAACGCUGGCGGCAGGCCUAACACAUGCAAGUCGAAUGGAUCCUUCGGGAUUAGUGGCGGACGGGUGAGUAACACGUGGGAACGUGCCUUUUGGUUCGGAACAACUCAGGGAAACUUGAGCUAAUACCGAAUGUGCCCUUCGGGGGAAAGAUUUAUCGCCAUUAGAGCGGCCCGCGUCUGAUUGGCUUGUUGGUGAGGUAAUGGCUCACCAAGGCGACGAUCAGUAGCUGGUCUGAGAGGAUGAUCAGCCACAUUGGGACUGAUACACGGCCCAAACUCCUACGGGAGGCAGCAGUGGGGAAUCUUGCGCAAUGGGCGAAAGCCUGACGCAGCCAUGCCGCGUGAAUGAUGAAGGUCUUAGGAUUGUAAAAUUCUUUCACCGGGGACGAUAAUGACGGUACCCGGAGAAGAAGCCCCGGCUAACUUCGUGCCAGCCGCCGCAGUAAGAC